ACAGAAGACUGGAUUGGCAUACCUACACACAUCUCACUGCCUUGCGUCUGGUGAUUUCUUCUCCUUGACUCAGAGUUUAAUGUCAAGGGAAGGUAAUGCCCUCUGUUCCAGUUGUGUACUACUCUAUCUUCAUUGAUGAAAACUACCACAACAAUUCCAUACCACUUUGGCAAGUUACCGGCAUUUCCAUCCAAUCCAAAUUUUGCACCAAUGCAAGCCGCCACAACUAUUUGGCAUAUCAACAUUUGACUUCCUCCCUCAAGGAAGAGCUUCCUCCUCUCCCACUUAUCAACACCAUACAUCGAAACUAUUGUUGCAGCAGCAUUAACAAGUCCGGUGAUCACAACUGAUAUGAGAGAAGCAUCACUUCCCAAAGUUAAUAGUUCAUUUUUUUUCUCUCAGAAACUUUUAUUAGGCAAUAACUAAUUUCCCAAAGUUUGACAUAAAACAAGAGUAGCAUAUUUAAAUGAAUAGCUAUAAUACUGAUAGUCUUGGCCUCUGUUGAGAUUGUUUUACUAUGAAUAACUUUUGGUUUUAUUUUGAACUUUGCUUGAACUUCCUUCCA